rnacentral:rRNA from 1 species
GAUGAACGCUGGCGGCGUGCCUAAUACAUGCAAGUCGAGCGAACGGACGAGAAGCUUGCUUUUCUGAUGUUAGCGGCGGACGUGUGAGUAACACGUGGAUAACCUACCUAUAAGACUGGGAUAACUUCGGGAAACCGGAGCUAAUAUCGGAUAAUAUUUUGAACCGCAUGGUUCAAAAGUGAAAGACGGUCUUGCUGUCACUUAUAGAUGGAUCCGCGCUGCAUUAGCUAGUUGGUAAGGUAACGGCUUACCAAGGCAACGAUGCAUAGCCGACCUGAGAGGGUGAUCGGCCACCCGGGAACUGAGCCGCGGUCCAGGCUCCUACGGGAGGCAGCAGUAGGGAAUCUUCCGCAAUGGGCGAAAGCCUGACGGAGCAACGCCGCGUGAGUGAUGAAGGUCUUCGGAUCGUAAAACUCUGUUAUUAGGGAAGAACAUAUGUGUAAGUAACUGUGCACAUCUUGACGGUACCUAAUCAGAAAGCCACGGCUAACUACGUG